rfam:Lupinus angustifolius cultivar Tanjil chromosome LG12, whole genome shotgun sequence.
AUACUUACCUGGAUGGGGUCAAUGGGUGAUCAAGAAGGCCCAUGGCCUAGGGAAGUGACCUCCAUUGCACUUAGGAGGGGUGCUUUUCUAAGGUCUACCCAAGUGGUGGAGCCUACAUCAUAAUUUGUGGCAGUGGGGGCCUGCGUUCGCGCGGCCCCUUC